GACGAACGCUGGCGGCGUGCUUAACACAUGCAAGUCGAACGGUAAGGCUCCAGCUUGCUGGGGUACACGAGUGGCGAACGGGUGAGUAACACGUGGGUGACCUGCCCUGCACUUCGGGAUAAGCCUGGGAAACUGGGUCUAAUACCGGAUAGGACCAUGGUGUGGAUACUGUGGUGGAAAGAUUUUUCGGUGUGGGAUGGGCCCGCGGCCUAUCAGCUUGUUGGUGGGGUAAUGGCCUACCAAGGCGGCGACGGGUAGCCGGCCUGAGAGGGUGGACGGCCACAUUGGGACUGAGACACGGCCCAGACUCCUACGGGAGGCAGCAGUGGGGAAUAUUGCACAAUGGGCGGAAGCCUGAUGCAGCGACGCCGCGUGGGGGAUGACGGCCUUCGGGUUGUAAACUCCUUUCACCAUCGACGAAGGGUUUCUGACGGUAGAUGGAGAAGAAGCACCGGCUAACUACGUG
rnacentral:rRNA from 1 species